AUGAAGUCAUUGAUGAAUAAUAUCAUUUUAUGUUCCUUUCAAAAUUCAAUAGAAAAUGAAAAUUAUUUUCAAUAUUAUCAAAUUCAUUUUAUUGACCACUUUAUUUAUUUAAAUCUAUCUUUCUUACUUUAAGAUUCCAUUAAUAAAUUUAUGUAAAGUUAAUAGUCAAAUGAGAUAUUAAAAAACUAAUACAGUUUUUAGGCCUAUAUAAUAGAAGUUAUGUUAGUCUUACUCGUUACAAAGAAACAAAAUAUAAAUUGGAAUCUUACAAAAUGGCAUGUCACACCAAUCAAUCUUGUUUUUUGAGUGUUUUAUGCCUUGUUUUGAUGGUUAGUUCGGGAUUGGUUACCAGUAUUUUGGUCCCUCCCGGAGGAGUUUGUAUAGGGCCUUGUGUUGCAACGUGUGACCAGGAUUGCUUUCGCAAGGGAUUUGGAAAAGGGGGACAAUGUUUUACUCAUCUUGAGAAGACAACAUGUUGUUGUUUUCACCAAUGAAUUUUAUUGUAUGAGUUCAAUAAAAAUAAUAAAACGUGCACUUCAGUUUAGCUCUGGAACUUACUUUUUGUAAGAAAUUUGUGUAAAUCUUUAAAAUACUAUAAACACUAUUAUGAAUAAAUGAAAUUUAAAAUGGAAUA